AGACCGUUGACUCUGCACGCCCUCUCUCACUCGGCGAGAAGCCAUGUUUCAAUCGGCAGCACCAGACAUGGCGCGGUCGCGCCGCUUGGCGGACUCUCGGCGCGGGACGAAUACGCAUUUCUCUCAGCUGCGCGGCGACUCUUGCGUGCAACCGAAGAGAUGACAAUUAUGUCGGAGCAACACGAGAGCGACCACCGGGAGCACAAAAUUCCCGCUAACUCGAGUCGGUUAACUUGUCGCGGACUGACUUGUCGCGAAGUCGCGCUCGCGUGCGACGCGCACGUUCCACAUUCUGAGGAGGAAACCGCCGUGCGGACACAAUGUGCGGCACACGUACCUGUCAAACGCGUCGUGUAGACCACUCGGCGACUUCCUCGUGCGCAUCGACGGAGUCGAUUCAGCGUGCGUGCGUUCAGCGUGGAAAACGUUUACGAGGUAUCUGUGCCAGGGACAGCUGUGACCCCAUCGUAUAUAUAGCGGUCUAGGGUUAAUUAACGGCUACCUGUAUCAACCUGUACACGGAGCGCUGCGCGUUCAUCCUACUUGGACUUUAGAACAAUGAAAACUCGUCAUGGACCGAGGGAUGCGGCAGUUGAGGCGAGCACGAGCGCUCGCGAUUGUCGCAAGGAUGUUCACCCGAUCGGCGAGGGGUCAGCUCAAAGGAGAAGCGACGAGUCCACCGAGCACAACUUGAAGGUGCUCGCAGCCACAGGUAAACGGGGGGAUACCCGGUGUAUUAUAUGCGGUAUGUGUAAUGCGCGCGUAUCUCUGUCUCUCUCUCUCUCUCUCUCUCUCUCUCUCUCUCUCUCUCCCUCUCUCUCUCUUUCUCUCUCUCACCUAUCGUCGAGAUGUAGGUGUCGUAGUACCGUUCGUCGCAGUAGCG